UCCCCAGAGCCAGGGACUCCUGGAAACUGCUGGCCCUCCACCUGGAGUCUCUCUCAUCUCAGUCCUGUCACCAUCAGCUGCAUGAUCAUGAUCUCACACGGUACAGUGUCCCACCCACAGCUCCUCCAGCUCCCCUCACGCCUCACUAUAUCUCAGGACAGAGGGGGCGCACGUUUCGUGGACUGUUACCAAAAAGAAAAGUCAGUAUUAUGUUGUUCUCAGACACCUUUACUCUUUGUCCUCCAAGACUGCUCCAGGGCCUCUUUGUGAAAUCCCACUAGGAGAAGAACAGUGACAGUAAUGGCUCACAGGAAUCAUUGAUAUCAUGGACACAGAUAUUCUCUCUCUAGAGAGAAGACCGAGCUGGAGUUGGACACUGUUAAUAAAGCCAGAAACACUCCCAAGUGGAUCUGGGGUCUGGAGUCACAGAGGUCCUUGUAAGUGUGGAGCACUGAUCACCCACGGGGGGAGAAGAUCCCCCGCCCCGUUUGCACGCUUUUCUUGCCUCAGUGCGUAAGCUCCUUGUACAACUACACCCAUCUUGUAUUCUGUGGCCCAGAAAAAAAUGGAAGUUAUUUUAUUUUUUUUCCCUCCAUAAUCCAAAGGGCAGAGUUGUGGAAAGUGGUCAGGGUCAGGUGGGCAGGGGCCGGAAUAAAACACUGGGCUCCUUUACUCAGC
rnacentral:lncRNA from 1 species